UGUCUGUAAACUAGAAAAAUGCUUCUUUUUGGCCCCUUAUUCCUACAUAUUCGGAAAAAUCAACCCCACACUGAUUCCCAGCCAACCCUGUGUUAUAUGGAAACUUGUUGUACAAUGUCAGAGAAAUCCAUACUGUUACACACAAGUUAUUGUCUUGAAACUAGAAAAAUGCUUGUUUUUGGCCCCUUUUGACCCUUAAUUCCUAGACUGUUUGCCCAAUAACCCCUUAAAAUAAAUCCCAACCUUCUACUUAUGGUAUUAAACAUUGUGGUACAAUAUCAGAACGAUUGAAAUACUAAUACACAACUUUU
rnacentral:lncRNA from 1 species